GGUAGAUAUGAUUUCCUGUAUUCUGGUGCAUUUUGGGGAUGGCCACUACCUAAAAAAUCAUCCAGAAUCAAAACCUAUGUACGGUAUGUUAAUUGAACCAACAUACAUUCAUUUCAUGUUUUCCAUGCUCAAACAGCCACAUGAAUGGUCAGUAUUUUUAUCAGUGCAAAGGGCUCACAUACAUCAUCAUUCAAUGAAGUCAAAAAACUGAAAAACAGUGGUACAACAUUAAGUGCAACAACUCAAUGAACUCAAACCCAACAAGCAGUUGUAGUAGUUGUAGUGGCGACUUAAGUGGAUAUCUUUAAUGACUGAUAUCGCUUCUAAGCAAACUAGACGCAUGGGUUUGCCUUCGAAUUCUAUGAAUUCUUCUCAUCUUUCUUGACCGAGUUUUCUGUCACUCGAUCAAUUGUAAUUAUUCUUUUUUUUUUUCUUUUUUUUAUUAUGUGCGGGCCUGACUGAGUGAGGAUGCGGGCCACACUGAGUGAGGAUGCGGGCCACACUGAGUGAGGAUGCGGGCCACACUGAGCUCCGUAUCGAACCAAAGCUGAACUUCCGAUCCGGGGAUGCUAUCGCUACGCAACACCGUCAUCCACCAGUUACUUUAUCAUUCAUUUAUCAUUCAUCCUUCAUUCUCAUAUUCAACCCACAGUGAGUUCCACAACGUUAUUCUGGUGUUCCACAACGUUAUGCUAUUGUUCCAGAACGUUAUACUGGAGUGUUCGAGAACGUUACACGAAUGCACUCCAGUUUUUUCUAGAAUAUCUUACCUGGUAGUGUUUUAGAAUGUCGGAGUCCGAUGCCCUGCGUCUCCCCAGUCCCGCCCUCUUCCUUCCUCUUCAAAGGGGACGUCAUGCUAGAACCGCCACUCAAGCCUGAGAAACAGAAAGCAUUCUGGGAAAGUCCAACUGACUUGUCUGCAUGUACGUUUUAUACACAAAAGGAUCUGCGCUGGAUAACAAGGACAAGCUGGUCACUCAGGUCCAACCUGUGUGGCCUCCUUCGGUUUUCCCCGUAGUUUACAGCAAGGUAUGCAUGAAGAGGUUUAACUAUGUUAUUCUUGAUAAAAGACCAAAUAGAUCGGCUCAAUGUCAGUUACCACAGCAAAAAACUAAUUAUUAAUGCUCCUUAUUAGGCAAACAAUAAAAAUAUACGUAAAUAUAUGAAAAAAUAUAUUACUUUUAAAUAUAUAAGUUAACAUUUUUCACAGUUGAACAGUUUAUCAUACAAUGUAGUUUGGUCUGGUCUGCGAAUGUUUUCAUUAAAAUUAAACUUGGAGGGAUCUUACUACGGCCAAGCGACUUCAGGGGAGGACUAUUCAGACUCAGGUCAGGGCCGGAGGAUGCGGGGGAACCUUCUCCCACUCCAGAACCCUCCAUCUUCACAACGUUUGAUCUGAGGAACCCACCGAACAGCCUAUCAUUUAAUAUUCAAAUGACAGUGUUUCCCUAGUGAUUUCAAUCACCAAAGUUCUGCAAAUAUUUUGAACAUCACAGUUCAUACUCAUUCUGGAA
ensembl:lncRNA